AGUGAACGCUGGCGGUAGGCCUAACACAUGCAAGUCGAACGGCAGCACAGUAAGAGCUUGCUCUUACGGGUGGCGAGUGGCGGACGGGUGAGGAAUACAUCGGAAUCUACUUUUUCGUGGGGGAUAACGUAGGGAAACUUACGCUAAUACCGCAUACGACCUACGGGUGAAAGCAGGGGAUCUUCGGACCUUGCGCGAUUGAAUGAGCCGAUGUCGGAUUAGCUAGUUGGCGGGGUAAAGGCCCACCAAGGCGACGAUCCGUAGCUGGUCUGAGAGGAUGAUCAGCCACACUGGAACUGAGACACGGUCCAGACUCCUACGGGAGGCAGCAGUGGGGAAUAUUGGACAAUGGGCGCAAGCCUGAUCCAGCCAUACCGCGUGGGUGAAGAAGGCCUUCGGGUUGUAAAGCCCUUUUGUUGGGAAAGAAAAGCAGCAGGUUAACACCCCGCUGUUCUGACGGUACCCAAAGGAUAAGCACCGGCUAACUUCGUG
rnacentral:rRNA from 1 species